CAGCAGCCGCGGGAAUACGUAGGGUGCAAGCGUUAAUCGGAAUUACUGGGCGUAAAGCGUGCGCAGGCGGUCCGCUAAGACAGAUGUGAAAUCCCCGGGCUUAACCUGGGAACUGCAUUUGUGACUGGUGGGCUAGAGUAUGGCAGAGGGGGGUAGAAUUCCACGUGUAGCAGUGAAAUGCGUAGAGAUGUGGAGGAAUACCGAUGGCGAAGGCAGCCCCCUGGGCCAAUACUGACGCUCAUGCACGAAAGCGUGGAGAGCAAACAGGAUUAGAUACCCCGGUAGUCCCUGUCUCUUAUAC
rnacentral:rRNA from 1 species